rfam:Lasallia pustulata genome assembly, contig: scaffold475_size37941
UGCGGAUUGAUGUAAUAGUAACAUAACUGGUUCAUGCCCAGCAUCUGGGGGUGCAAAUCCUCUGUCCGCAA